UACGUAGGGUGCGAGCUUUAAUCGGAAUUACUGGGCGUAAAGCGUGCGCAGGCGGCGCGUUAAGUCAGGUGUGAAAGCCCCGAGCUUAACUUGGGAAUUGCGCUUGUGACUGGCGUGCUGGAGUGUGGCAGAGGGAGGUGGAAUUCCACGUGUAGCAGUGAAAUGCAUAGAGAUGUGGAGGAACACCGAUGGCGAAGGCAGCCUCCUGGGCCAGCACUGACGCUCAUGCACGAAAGCGUGGGGAGCAAACAGG
rnacentral:rRNA from 1 species